rnacentral:lncRNA from 1 species
GUCCAAAUUGAGAGUGUGUGAAAGCCUGAAGACGGAUCGGUAAAGAAGAUAAUGUAGGCUCAGGUUCUCUCCAACAAAGAGGAAAUUUGAAAAUGGUUUUCCUUGAUGUCAGGCUACUGAGUGGAAGUUAUUUCCCUGGGGACGAAGACAGUGAAGGAAUGCAAGGCUCAUCAUUUCUCUUCUUUCCAGAAAGACCACAUGAGAAUGAGAUGAGCAGAUGACCAUCCCUACACAUAGGGGUGAGCUAAAAACCACCAUUACCUCUAUCACAGAAUUACAGAGUCACAGAGUCACAGAGUCACAGAAUCAAAGAAUGGUUGAGAUUGGAAGAGAACUCUGGAGGUCAACACCCCUUUUUAGGCAAGACCACCUACAGCAGGUGCUCAGGACCAUGUCCAGAAGGCUCUUGAAGAUCUCCAAGGAGACUUCACAACCUCUCUGGGCAACCUGUGCCAGUGCUUCGUCACCCACAUAAUAAAGAAGUGCUUCCUGAUGUUGAGACAGAAUCUCCAGUGUUCCAGUUUGUGCCCAUUGCCUCUGGUCCUGGCAUCAGGCACCACUGAAAAGAAAAGAAUCUGGCUCCAUCUUCUUUGCACCUUCUCUUCAGAUAUUUGUACACAUUGAUGAGAUCUUCCCGAGAUGCCUCUUUUCCAGGUUAAGAGCACUACUGCUUCUUAGGCCACUAAAAGAGUACAACAAACAAUCCAGUCUUUGUGAAACCAGAAAAGCAGGUAAAAUAUUUUAAUUUUUGAAACAAAUAUAUAUGGUUUAUAAAGAAACACUGAGUGGUGACCCUUGUACUGAAGUUAGUCUUUUAUUUCCCACACCUAUGUUAUAGGAAACACUUCAGAAAUGGAAGGACGAGCAUUUCAAAGUUUGAGUUCUGUUUAAGAAGUAGUUUUGUGGAUUGGGGGUGGCCUUUCUUAUUUCCAUUUUCUUCCUCUAUUGGAGAGUUACUCAUUGUUCUUAUCUGUGAAGUCAAUUAGAAGAAUUGCUAGACAGAGGUGUUAGAAAGAUUCAUGGAAUCUCUCUCUACUACAAAGCAGGUUAAAAGCAAAUCCAGAUAAAACAUUUCAUGCUCAUUUUGGCUGAGGUUAUUUUUGAUCAGAUCUGUGUCUCUAGGACAAAAAAUGAAGUUAUAAUUUAAUAGACUUUGUCAGGAAAAAAAGACUGUUUUGGUCAAGUAUUCUGAUUUCCUACAUAGGAAUUUUACAGUGUUACCCAGCAGCUCCUACAUCAGCUUGGUUUUUCUUUCUUGGUUGGUCCAGAGCAUUUAUUUAAGAAUCAUAAUUUUAAGAUGAUGGAGAAUUAGGCUGCUGAAGUUAUAUUAGCAUCUAUACCAGAUGAAAUGUGCAGUUAAAAUAAAGAUCCCCACGCUGAAAUGGUCUGUAAAACC